rnacentral:sRNA from 1 species
GAAUGUGAGGGUGACCUGGCUGUGACCCUGCCACCCCAUUGAUUGCCAGGACCUAUUAAACUGAUGCAUUGGCUUGGUGUCUUCUUUUUCUCUCGCCAUUCCGUGUAAGCCAGGCUUCAAGCUGGGGACUCAGAUGACAGGUAUGGCCUUCCCUGAUAAAGGAAGGUCUGUCUCAGUGAGUCUUCAAGAUGAGAUGCACUCUGUGAUCCCAAAAUGCAUCCCAAAGUCUUGAGAUGAAUGCCUUGUGAAGGGGCUUGCUGAGUUUC